AAGAUGACGCAGUGGACGAAGAUUGGAAGGUCUGAGUCCUUCGUGUUAGAUAAGAUAUAAGUCGUAACAUGGCUGCUGUUGGAGAACCAGCAGCAGGAUCAGUA
rnacentral:rRNA from 1 species